GUACCGUAGUUUAACUGGUACCGUUAGUAGCGUUACUGGUACCGGUACCAGUCCACCCCAACUACGCCAGAGGACUUCAAGAUGGCGGCCUGUCAGUUAUCAACAAAGGGUGACAACCCCGAGGAGUGUCCAGUGUGCCUGACAGGCUUUGAUGACUUAGUACAGCGGCCACGCACUCUGCCCUGUGGCCACACAGUCUGCACACUGUGCACAGAUAAGCUGAAGGAGCAGGGCCGUGUUACCUGUCCGGAGUGCCGCGUCACCCAUGCCGUGCCCGAGGGCGGGCAGUUCCCUGUCAGCUAUACAAUUGAGGCCUUAAUAAGAAGGCUGAGAGACGGCAAGGCGGCGGAGGCCUCGCCGCCACCCAGUGCCGGGAAGGGGAAAGGGGCAGCAGGAUCAGCUGGCAAGAAGGGAGCAGCGGGUCUCUCCAAGAAAAUGCGUUCCUUUCUGCAGGAACAGGAGGCCACAGUUGUGGCCGCCAUCACCGCCUGCCAGGAGGCUCAGUCCCAGCUGGACCAGUAUGAGGCCACCCUGACAGGCUGGGUCGAGCGGCAGCAGCUGGAGGACAGCCUCCAGGGACUGAUGGACCAGAGCAGGAGUUCCAGGGAGCUCCUGCAGCAGGAAAGGUUCCGUGUGGCACCGAAGAGGAAGGAGGCAAAGAAGAAGGAGCAGGAGCUGCAGACUGUGCGGGAGAAGUUGCGCACUCGUGCAACAGAGCAAGAGGCACUCAAAGUUUUAGCAACAGUGUUCCACCUCACCGGUGAGGUGGAGCAGGUGUUGGAGGAGUGCCAGCAGUGUUUCCCUGACGCCGGCAUCCUCACCACCGCCAGGAAGGUGAGAGAGGCAUCUAGUGCAGCCCUGGAGGCCGCCAAGGCUGUCCAGGCGGCUCUGGAAACUGUUUCUACAGAAGAACCCAGGCCCCAGUCAGUCCCAGAAGAACCCAGGCCCCAGUCAGACCCAGAAGAACCCAGGCCCCAGUCAGUCCCAGAAGAACCCAGGCCCCAGUCAGACCCAGAAGAACCCAGGCCCCAGUCAGACCCAGACCUCACCAUCAUGGAAAAAGUGCAGUUCAUCUUAAAGCCAAGCUUGAAGGCCGAGGACUUCCGCAGUCUGACAGAGCGCACCAGGAGCCUGCUGCAGGCUGGCCGGGUGUUUGCUGUGCACCAGGUGGAAGGUCAGCGCCGACACGCAAGAAUAAGCCUCGAAGCCGGCCGGCCGUGCCUCCAUGCCCUGGCGGACCAUCCCCCGCCACUGGGCGCGUCAACCCUGCAGGUCAGCCAGGUCGUGCCGCCCUCCCCCCCCUGCACGGUGUUCCUGGACCUGUCCUGGCCGGGCCGUGCGCCGCGCCGGGUCCACAUCCGUCUGAGCCCCGACACCCAGCGGGGCCGCCAGUUCCUGAUGCUGUGCACGGGGCAGCGCGGCCCCUCCUACCGCGGCACCAGGCUGUACAGGGUGGUGUUGAAGGGGGGGCCGGGAGAGUGUGUGUAUGGCGGGGACUACGAGAGUAAUGAUGGUACGGGGGAAUGUGUGCUGCUGCCUGGCCUUGAGGAGGGUGUGGAGGGGAGGCCAUGGCGGGCAGGGGAUGUGUGGGGGUGUGGGAGGCGGGGUGUGUUUGCCAUCAACACCAGGGACUAUCAGGGUCUUGUGUGGCGUUGUUUCUUCGGUGAGGUGGUGGAGGGACUGCACGUGGUGGCCGAGGCAGCCCAACACAGCGACAUUAAGGAGGUGACUGUGGUGGACUGUGGCGUGGUGCUGUAAGGGUAUACUGGCCUGCACCACCACCACCACCACCACCACAACAUUAAGGAGGUGACUGUGGUGGACUUUGUGGUGUUGAGGGUACUGGCCUGCACCACCACCACCACCACCACCACCACAACAUUAUAGAGGAGAUUGUGGUGGACUUUGUGGUGUUGAGGGUACUGGCCUGCACCACCACCACCACCACCACCACCACAACAUUAUAGAGGAGAUUGUGGUGGACUUUGUGGUGUUGAGGGUACUGGCCUGCACCACCACCACCACCACCACCACAACAUGAUAGCGGAAAUUGUGGUGGACUGUGUGGUGUUGAGGGUACUGGCCUGCACCACCACCACCACCACCACCACCACAACAUUAUAGAGGAGAUUGUGGUUGUUUUCUUAAUGUAUUGUUGUUGUUUUUUAUUUCCUGUAACCUCAAGUUCAGUAUAAUGUGUUGGUCAGUUUCUUGUACUAUUGAGCAUGAUGUUUUGUACAGUACAGUAAUCCCUCCUUAUACACGGAGGUCAGGUUUCAAAUUAGACCGUGCAUUAAGAAAAAUCGUGUAUAACUACAUUAGACACUGGGAAAGGGCAGAAAAUUAAAGUUUACCCUCUUUUACUCAAAUUACUUAGUGUUCUUUUGCUGUGAAUUUCCCUUUUCUUCUAACACUUAAUUUUGAACGAGAACAUUAAUUGUCCGUCAUCCAAGGCUUCAUUAAACCAGUGUUUCUCUACACACAAAGGAAACAGUGUCCGCGCUGGACCUGUUUGCUGCUUCGUGCUGUUAAGUGUGUGUGACCUUCACGGAUGGAAAAAAAUAUCAUUUAUGCAAUAAAAGGAAUUGAAACUGGA